GGGUCAAAGGUCACCGCAAUGGCCGGGGAGAACUUCCUCUUCCUUGGCUCAUCCCACUUACUGCCUGAUGACCUGAGUUGACGCUGGUGAAGACAUUCAUGAUUUAAACACCAGAUCCUGAAAUGGGUUAAAUCUACUUUGAAAUGAAUCUGCAAUCAGUAUUUCAAAGCUUUUCUGUUAGCCACAGUAAAUGAACAACCCCUUCAGAAUGGGUUUGAAGAGCUGAUCCCGUGGACAAAAGAGGGGAAACCGUGGGAGUUCCCAAUUAACAAUGAAGCAGCCCACCCACAAAUGAAUUACCAGGAGUGAACCCAGGGGCACGUAUGAAUGAAAGUCCACAGACAAAUGAAUUUAAAGGAGCAACCGAGGAGGCACCUGGGAAAGAAAGCCCAUACACAAGUGAAUUUAAAGGAGCAGCCCUGGUGUCACCUAUCAGUGAAAGUAUGUUAGAACGACUUUCCAAGUUUGAAGUCGAAGAUGCUGAAAAUGUUGCUUCAUAUGACAGCAAGAUUAAGAAAAUUGUGCGUUCAAUUGUAUCAUCCUUUGCAUUUGGAAUAUUUGGAGUUUUCCUGGUCUUACUGGAUGUCACUCUCCUCCUUGCCGACCUAAUUUUCACUGAUAGCAAACUUUAUAUUCCUUUGGAGUAUUGUUCUAUUUCUCUAGCUAUUGCCUUAUUUUUUCUCAUGGAUGUUCUUCUUCGAGUAUUUGUAGAAGGGAGACAGCAGUAUUUUUCUGACUUAUUUAACAUUUUAGAUACUGCCAUUAUUGUGAUUCCUUUGCUGGUUGAUGUCGUUUACAUUUUUUUUGACAUUAAGUUUCUUAGGAAUAUUCCCAGAUGGACACAUUUAGUUCAGCUUCUACGACUGAUUAUUCUGAUAAGAAUUUUUCAUCUGGUUCAUCAAAAAAGACAACUUGAAAAGCUGAUGAGAAGGCUGGUUUCAGAAAACAAAAGGCGAUACACAAGUGAUGGAUUUGACCUGGACCUCACUUACAUUACAGAGUGUAUUAUUGCUAUGUCAUUUCCAUCUUCUGGAAGGCAGUCUUUCUAUAGAAAUCCAAUCGAGGAAGUUGUGCGGUUUCUAGACGAAAAGCAUCCAAGCCACUAUCGAGUCUACAAUCUAUGCAGUGAAAGAGCUUAUGAUCCUAAGCACUUCCAUAAUAGGGUCGGUAGAAUCAUGAUUGAUGAUCAUAAUGUCCCCACUCUACAUGAGAUGGUGUUUUUCACCAAGGAAGUAAAUGAGUGGAUGGCUCAAGAUCUUGCAAACAUCGUAGCGAUUCACUGCAAUGGAGGCAAAGGAAGAACCGGCACUAUGGUUUGCGCUUUCCUUAUUGCCUCUGAAAUAUUUUUAACUGCAGAGGAAAGCCUGUAUUAUUUUGGAGAAAGGCGAACAGAUAAAACCCACAGCAGUAAAUUUCAGGGAGUAGAAACUCCUUCUCAGAAUAGAUAUGUUGGAUAUUUUGCACAAGUGAAACAUCUUUACAACUGGAAUCUCCCUCCAAGACGGAUACUCUUUGUAAAAAGAUUCAUUAUUUAUUCGAUUCACGGUGAUGUAUGUGAUCUAAAAGUCCAAAUAGUAAUGGAGAAAAAGGUUGUCUUUUCCAGUACUUCAUCAAGAUAUUGUUGGAUAAUGCGUAACAUUGAAACAGACAAGGUAUUCAUUGAUGUAUUCGACGGUCCACCUCUGUAUGAUGAUGUGAAAGUGCAAUUUUUCUCUUCGAGAGAAGAGGGCAGCACACUUCGCAGGGCCAACUGGAAGGGGGAGCCAUCCAGGAGACCUGUGCUCGACUGAUGGGUGGGAGCAAUAGCAAGAGGGAGGGAUCUGAGAGUGGAAGCCUUCAUUGGGAUAAUCUUCCUAAGUACUAUGACAACUGUUCAUUUUUCUUCUGGUUCAACACAUCUUUUAUUCAAAAUAACAGGCUUUAUCUACCAAGAAAUGAAUUGGAUAAUCCACAUAAACAAGAAGCAUGGAGAAUGUAUCCACCAGAAUUUGCUGUGGAGAUACUUUUUGGCGAGAAAUGACUUCCAAUGACGUUGUAGCUGGAUCCGAUUAAGUAUAGCUCCCCCUUCCCCUUCUGGGAAAGAAUUAUGUUCUUUCCAACCCUGCCACAUGUUCAUAUGUCCUAAGUCUUCCUUGAUGAUGUAUCUGUAUUUAUAUAUGUUUAUAUAUGUUCUUCAUAAAUCUAUUAAAUAUAUAUAGAUAAAA